AUUGAACGCUGGCGGCAGGCCUAACACAUGCAAGUCGAGCGGAUGAAGGGAGCUUGCUCCUGGAUUCAGCGGCGGGCGGGUGAGUAAUGCCUAGGAAUCUGCCUGGUAGUGGGGGAUAACGUCCGGAAACGGGCGCUAAUACCGCAUACGUCCUGAGGGAGAAAGUGGGGGAUCUUCGGACCUCACGCUAUCAGAUGAGCCUAGGUCGGAUUAGCUAGUUGGUGGGGUAAAGGCCUACCAAGGCGACGAUCCGUAACUGGUCUGAGAGGAUGAUCAGUCACACUGGAACUGAGACACGGUCCAGACUCCUACGGGAGGCAGCAGUGGGGAAUAUUGGACAAUGGGCGAAAGCCUGAUCCAGCCAUGCCGCGUGUGUGAAGAAGGUCUUCGGAUUGUAAAGAACUUUAAGUUGGGAGGAAGGGCAGUAAGUUAAUACCUUGCUGUUUUGACGUUACCAACAGAAUAAGCACCGGCUAACUUCGUG
rnacentral:rRNA from 1 species